rfam:Cricetulus griseus cell line CHO-K1, whole genome shotgun sequence.
GGUUCCAUAGUGUAGUGCUUAUCACAUCUGCUAUACACACAGAAGGUCCUGGGUUCAAGCCCCAAUGGAGCCA